CCUACGGGAGGCAGCAGUAAGGAAUAUUGGUCAAUGGAGGCAACUCUGAACCAGCCAUGCCGCGUGCAGGAUGAAGGCCCUCUGGGUUGUAAACUGCUUUUAUCUGGGAAGAAAUCUCCUUUUCUAAGGAAGUUGACGGUACCAGAAGAAUAAGCACCGGCUAACUCCGUGCCAGCAGCCGCGGUAAUACGGAGGGUGCAAGCGUUAUCCGGAUUUACUGGGUUUAAAGGGUGCGUAGGCGGGCUUUUAAGUCAGUGGUGAAAGCUUCGAGCUUAACUCGAAAAUUGCCAUUGAUACUAUUAGUCUUGAAUUCAGUUGAGGUCGGCGGAAUGUGUCGUGUAGAGGUGAAAUUCUUAGAUAUGACACAGAACACCAAUUGCGAAGGCAGCUGGCUAAUCUGAUAUUGACGCUGAGGCACGAAAGCGUGGGGAUCAAACAGGAUUAGAUACCCUGGUAGUCCACGCCCUAAACGAUGAUUACUCGAAGUUGGCGAUACACUGCCAGCCUCAAAGCGAAAGCAUUAAGUAAAUCCACCUGGGGAGUACGAACCGCAAGGUUGAAACUUAAAUUGAAAUUGACGG
rnacentral:rRNA from 1 species